rnacentral:lncRNA from 1 species
GUUCAGUUGAUAGUGAUGCUUUUUCAACAAUAUAUUUAUCAUUUUAUAGUAAAAUAAUUAAAUAGGCUUUCUAUAUUUUCUUUAAUAAUAUUUGUUUAAUGUUGUACCGAUUUUCCUAUAUUUUAUCCAAGUUUUGUCUGGAAAACUCUUUGGAAAAUCGAAAAAUGACCUCCCUAAAAUACCACUUCAGUUAAGAUUUCCUUUUAGAAACAUUGAUAUCAUUAUAAGUCGGAGAAAAAUUGUUGGUAGAAGAGAAAAAAAAGCCAUAACAUUUUUAGCUAAUACCUACAUUUCUUACAUUUUCUGGUUUUCCAACUUUUUUUUCGGUUUUUCACAUUUGUUGAGAAAAUCGAAAAACAAAUUUUUCAAAGUACCUCCUCAUAUCGAUUUCCUCUCAGGAAAGGUACUGUAAAUACAAAUUGGAGUAAGACCUCUGGUAGAUAAGUUGUCCACAGAACAAAAAAUAAAAAAUAAAUAACACAUUUGUAAAACCGUUAACUUCUUCGCUUCAAUCAGGAUCUAAAAUAAGUUUUCAUAUAAAAUAUAUUACUGAGUGCGUGUAUUACAUUUGCCUAGAAAACUUAUGAAAAUCGAAAAAUGUCCUCUUUUAAGUACCUCUCUAGUGAAAUUUCCUUUUAGAAACAUUGCUAUCAUUAAAAGUUAAAGCAAAAUUGCUGGUAGAAAAGUUAUGUACAGGAAAAGAAAUAGUCAUAUUUUAGUAAUAUAUUUCGAUUUUUUUCGGUUUUUCACAUUUGUUAAGAAAACUCUGGAGAAAAACGAAAAACGAUUAUGCUUUAUUCAAAUCUGUAGGUGCUGUUAUAGGCAAUACAAAUGAUGAUUUAAAUGAAAUGUGGGUUAAUGUACAAUGCAUAUAUAUAUUGUAUAAAUAUAACAAAAUUGUUCACUGAAAAAAAUGAUUACGUAAUUCUGAAUUACAGUUGUUUUAGAGUCAAACAAAAUAUUAAUAAAUGUAUACACUUAUAAAUAAUAUAACCUAUUUAUUCAUGAUAAUAAAUCAUAUGAUGAAAAUUCUAAAGCCAAGACAAAUAAACAUUAUCUGAAAUAAUUAAAGUGUGAUGUGUAGUCGAAUUUAUAAUACAUAGAAAUCUGAAAUAUUGACAAAUUGACAGUGUGAUCAGAUAGACCUCAAAGCCAGAAUUUUAAAUUUAUUUUCAGGAGCUCAUAUUUAAGUAUUUGUUAUUCAAACAAGAAUACUGAUUUUUUAUUAAUUUUUGGUUUUCUUUGGUUAUACGUUUUUACUACAUAUUAUAUUGAUUAAAGUAAAAAUAAAUAAAUUUAAUUAUUAUUUUACUAGGGGUCUCUAUACUCUCCAGAAGGCAACAAUACUCACCGAUGUGAAAAUAAAAAAUACGAUCCAUACUACAACCACAAAUUAAAUUAUACUAAGUAUACAUCUUAAUUCGUAACUACAGCGAACAUAUUACGAGCUACUCCAAAUUUGAAUUGUUCCGAAUAAAACUUUAAGGAACGUUUAUUUAUUUAAAAUUUGUUGAACUUAAAAAUAACUGCUACGAAAGACAAUAACUUCAUAGGUAUUAAAUUAGUAGGUAUCUACUAACUUUACUUCAAUAUCUAUGAGUAACUCCAAAAUAAUUUCUGUUUAGUUAUGACGAAAUAGUAUGAUUUUUAACAGUUAGCAUGAAUGCAUAAUUAUUUUUAUAAGUACAGACCUAGGUUAAUGAAGCAAAUAUGCUAGACUACAAUAUUUUUUAUUUCAACUUCUGUUUGCUAUCUACAAUAUGUACACAAUUUUUACCAUAAGUAUUUAUUAUAUAACUACUAAUUGUAUAUAUUAGAUAUUAAAAUCUGAAAAAAAUUACC